CGGCAGCCACCUCGGAUACCCUGACUCAGCAUUUCCGGGUCCACCUUUCUUGUUCCCGCCGCCUCAGUGAACACGCAUGCCCACUAAAGCACAUCACUAAGGCACAUCACUCAUCUAUAUAAGCGCGCUGCACCUUUGGCACAGCGCGACUUCCCUGACCCUCCCCCUGCAGACCACUGAACCUCGCCGGAGAGCUCAAUUAAGAAGAUUUUUGCCCUCUUUGUCUCGCCUCUCGGCCUUAUUGAUCCACGGUGCCCUUCCAUUGCCUUUCAUUGGUGCCAAAACCCGGGAAGGGACACCUCCUAAGCCCCCCAGAGGCUCGAGGGGACUCCCCUCCUGGUCAGAUCAGGCUUCUUCCCCACGGCUACCCAUCCGUUUCGUUCGGUUACUUGCCACCAGGUUGCAGCUGCUGCAGCCACUCCAGUCCAAUUCGGCUGACGCUGGGAGAAAAGAAUUGGGAGAAUAUCUAAAUCUCUUCUAUAUAUGAGGUGAAGGGCCAUGCCUGGCAGACUACAUGGGGAAUCAGAGGAUCAAGAGGAGUGAAGAGAGGAUCCCUGGAGGAAUGCCCGUCCUCCCUCCACUGACAGCAGCCACAGUUACUAACAGGGUCUUUCUGAUGAGGAGAAUCUGACAGGACCCAGUUGAGCAAGGACUGGAACUGCUUUUGGGGAAUAGGAAAGACAACUGAAAACAAAAAGCCUACCUGAACCUCUUCCAAAAAAAAAGGGAAUACAUUGGAGAAAAAAACACAGUAGUUGAAAUUUCAGUCCUCAGUGGUGGAAAGUUGCUACUGGUCUUGUUAUAAUGACACAACGUUGUGUGAAAUGAUGUUACAUGAGGACCUGCUGUAAUCAAAUGAGCUGAAGUUCACCAAAGAUGGAAUAGAAGUCAGAGAGUGAGUUUUAGGCAAGUAAAUAUAUGCAAGAACCCACUUACCUGGUCUUCUGUAAGAGGAUUGAGGUGUGCAUGAGAAGAUAUUAGAAGACUUUAGCUGCCAGAGAAGAUAAUUUGGAAAUCAUCUGCUCCGCCAUUAAUAGAGAGACAGAAUAUCACUGGUGAAAGAGAAAUCACAAUGGGAUCUGAUGGAGAAGGCCACACACAUCUGUAGGUCUUGGAUUUUUUGCUGCAUAGAGUAAUCAGAUGAGAGCUUGGGUGGUCUCCCUUGAUAAGGAGGGUUCAAUGCAGGAGGAAUAAGG
rnacentral:lncRNA from 1 species